GGGAACGCAGCGGCGAUUGGUUAGAGUCCCGCCCACUUGUUAAGCGUCGCGAGCCACUAUUCUCGGCUCUGAUUGGCCAGAGAACUCGCGCCGCUUUUGAAUCCCCACCCUGCGGACCCCGCGCGCCUCGCCUUCUCCCUCUGGUUGGCGAGCGCCUUUCUGCGCCUUCAGGCAUUUUUGCUGAGGCUUUUGUCUGCGCAUGUGCGGGUAGGUUCCGGUAGCAUCCGGGAGACCCGGCCCAGGCCUGGAGAUGCUGAGCGGAGCUUGGAGGGAGAGAGGGGACUGGGUUGUUGAGGGGAGAAUCCCUCUCGGCAUCUCCUUGGCCCACUGGGGAGCCCCAUUGCCCCAUCCACCGCUUAGAACCAGACCCUUCCUUUCACUCUCCACUCCCUAUCCCUACCGGCUUUAGACCUUCAAAGUUCCAAGAUUCGACCUUCGGGGUCUCCCCAUUUCGUAGGGGCUUACAGAUUUCCUAAAAUCCCCCUCCUCCCCGAACCCCCUUCCGUCCCUGGAGAUUCUGGGGUCCCUGCUCUUUCCCAUUCAUUCCACCCCAUCUACUUGGGACCCUUCCAAGGGCAAGGGGGGCCUCUCAGUGCCUCUCCUACCCUCAUGUCCUUUCUCCUCUUUUAGGUCCAGGAGGUCAUCUUUGCCUCCCUUCCUUGAAAUCUCCCCAGAUUUAGAGGCCCUCACCCAGCUUCUCCCCUCUCAGCCCUGUCGAGGUGUCAAGUGAGAUCUCAGCCAGGCCAGAAAAAGCUGCCAUGCCAAAAGCGGCCGACACUAACUCCACGCGGUGCUCCUGGAAACGUCGGGCUCCCAGCUCCCAUGAGGCAGAAAACGGGCAUCUAUUCUUUUAACAUACCAAAUAUUUGAGCACUUACCACGCGUCGGGCACUGAUUUACAGCACAGAGUGAAACUAAGUCCCUGCCCUUGCCUUGCUGAGCUUGCAUUCCAUCUUGGAAGGAGGAACAGACAAUAAUUAGCAAAAGUACAAUGACUGUGCACGGAGAGGCUGAGAGAGACGUGCUGGGAGCCCAGUGGGUGCCGAGCGUGGCAGGUGUAGCGCCCUGAAUCCCCAGCCUUCACCCCGGGCAGCUCCAGCCCCAGGGGUCUAGGGCCCCAGGGAUGGGACGAGGAGAGGACUCUGUUCUGCAGGACCCAGCUCAGUGUGGCAGGGGGCUGGCUGUCAGCAGCACAGAGGAGCCGCAGGAACUGGCCUUUUUGGGCUUCCAG
rnacentral:lncRNA from 10 species